ACACAUGGCAGUCGAGCGGUAACAGGUCCAGCUUGCUGGAUGCUGACGAGCGGCGGACGGGUGAGUAACGCAUAGGAAUCUACCCGGUAGUGGGGGAUAACCUGGGGAAACCCAGGCUAAUACCGCAUACGUCCUACGGGAGAAAGGGGGCUUAGGCUCCCGCUAUUGGAUGAGCCUAUGCCGGAUUAGCUGGUUGGUGAGGUAAUGGCUCACCAAGGCGACGAUCCGUAGCUGGUCUGAGAGGAUGAUCAGCCACAUCGGGACUGAGACACGGCCCGAACUCCUACGGGAGGCAGCAGUGGGGAAUAUUGGACAAUGGGGGCAACCCUGAUCCAGCCAUGCCGCGUGUGUGAAGAAGGCCCUCGGGUUGUAAAGCACUUUCAGCGAGGAAGAACGCCUGUCGGUUAAUACCCGGCAGGAAAGACAUCACUCGCAGAAGAAGCACCGGCUAACUCCGUGCCAGCAGCCGCGGUAAUACGGAGGGUGCAAGCGUUAAUCGGAAUUACUGGGCGUAAAGCGCGCGUAGGUGGCUUGAUAAGCCGGUUGUGAAAGCCCCGGGCUCAACCUGGGAACGGCAUCCGGAACUAUUAGGCUAGAGUGCAGGAGAGGAAGGUAGAAUUCCCGGUGUAGCGGUGAAAUGCGUAGAGAUCGGGAGGAAUACCAGUGGCGAAGGCGGCCUUCUGGACUGACACUGACACUGAGGUGCGAAAGCGUGGGUAGCAAACAGGAUUAGAUACCCUGGUAGUCCACGCCGUAAACGAUGUCGACCAGCCGUUGGGUGCCUAGCGCACUUUGUGGCG
rnacentral:rRNA from 1 species